rnacentral:rRNA from 1 species
CCUACGGGGGGCUGCAGUGGGGAAUAUUGGACAAUGGGGGGAACCCUGAUCCAGCCAUGCCGCGUGUGUGAAGAAGGCCCUCGGGUUGUAAAGCACUUUCAGUGAGGAAGAACGCCUGGUGGUUAAUACCCAUCAGGAAAGACAUCACUCACAGAAGAAGCACCGGCUAACUCCGUGCCAGCAGCCGCGGUAAUACGGAGGGUGCGAGCGUUAAUCGGAAUUACUGGGCGUAAAGCGCGCGUAGGUGGCUUGAUAAGCCGGUUGUGAAAGCCCCGGGCUCAACCUGGGAACGGCAUCCGGAACUGUCAAGCUAGAGUGCAGGAGAGGAAGGUAGAAUUCGCGGUGUAGCGGUGAAAUGCGUAGAGAUCGGGAGGAAUACCAGUGGCGAAGGCGGCCUUCUGGACUGACACUGACGCUGAGGUGCGAAAGCGUGGGUAGCAAACAGGAUUAGAUACCCGAGUAGUC